rnacentral:rRNA from 1 species
UGGGGAAUAUUGGACAAUGGGCGAAAGCCUGAUCCAGCCAUGCCGCGUGUGUGAAGAAGGUCUUCGGAUUGUAAAGCACUUUAAGUUGGGAGGAAGGGCUGCAAGUUAAUACCCUGUAGUUUUGACGUUACCAACAGAAUAAGCACCGGCUAACUUCGUGCCAGCAGCCGCGGUAAUACGAAGGGUGCAAGCGUUAAUCGGAAUUACUGGGCGUAAAGCGCGCGUAGGUGGUUUGGUAAGAUGGAUGUGAAAUCCCCGGGCUCAACCUGGGAACUGCAUCCAUAACUGCCUGACUAGAGUACGGUAGAGGGUGGUGGAAUUUCCUGUGUAGCGGUGAAAUGCGUAGAUAUAGGAAGGAACACCAGUGGCGAAGGCGACCACCUGGACUGAUACUGACACUGAGGUGCGAAAGCGUGGGGAGCAAAC